CAGGCAGCACAUCACCUUCUGGUAGUUCUCGUCUCUCUUUUGCUUCAAGUUUCUCCACUCCUUCAAAACAAGCAACCAUAUGAAUGUGAAAUAUUUAUUGUCUGGUCUUUUAGGAAACUUACCAAUCCAUGGUUUACAAGAAGCACACAUUGGAUAAGAAAUACACUGAUUACUUGGUUUCCCACAUCUCAUGGGAUGUGAAGACAGCACUUACUGCUAUCAGCUGGAAGCUCUUGUGAAGCAUCGCCACGAGCAG